rnacentral:rRNA from 1 species
AGAGUUUGAUCCUGGCUCAGAUUGAACGCUGGCGGCAGGCUUAACACAUGCAAGUCGAGCGGUAACAGGGGGAGCUUGCUCCCCGCUGACGAGCGGCGGACGGGUGAGUAAUACAUAGGAAUCUGCCCAGUAGUGGGGGAUAGCCCGGGGAAACCCGGAUUAAUACCGCAUACGCCCUACGGGGGAAAGCAGGGGAUCUUCGGACCUUGCGCUAUUGGAUGAGCCUAUGUCGGAUUAGCUGGUUGGUGGGGUAAAGGCCUACCAAGGCGACGAUCCGUAGCUGGUCUGAGAGGAUGAUCAGCCACAUCGGGACUGAGACACGGCCCGAACUCCUACGGGAGGCAGCAGUGGGGAAUAUUGGACAAUGGGGGCAACCCUGAUCCAGCCAUGCCGCGUGUGUGAAGAAGGCUUUCGGGUUGUAAAGCACUUUCAGUGAGGAGGAAAACCUUAUGGUUAAUACCCAUGAGGCUUGACGUUACCCACAGAAGAAGCACCGGCUAACUCCGUGCCAGCAGCCGCGGUAAUACGGAGGGUGCAAGCGUUAAUCGGAAUUACUGGGCGUAAAGCGCGCGUAGGUGGUUUGAUAAGUGAGAUGUGAAAGCCCCGGGCUUAACCUGGGAACGGUAUUUCGAACUGUCAGGCUAGAGUGUGGUAGAGGGUAGUGUAUUUUCCUGUGUAGCGGUGAAAUGCGUAGAUAUAGGAAGGGACACCAGUGGCGAAGGCGGCUACCUGGACCGACACUGACACUGAGUGCGAAGGCGUGGGAGCAAACAGAUUAGAUACCCUGGUAGUCCACGCCGUAAACGAUGUCUACUAGCGUUGGGACUCUUGAAGUCUAGU